rnacentral:rRNA from 1 species
AGUGAACGCUGGCGGUAGGCCUAACACAUGCAAGUCGAACGGCAGCACAGGAGAGCUUGCUCUCUAGGUGGCGAGUGGCGGACGGGUGAGGAAUACAUCGGAAUCUGCCCAGCCGAGGGGGAUAACGUAGGGAAACUUACGCUAAUACCGCAUACGACCUUCGGGUGAAAGAGGGGGAGCGCAAGACCUCUCGCGAUUGGAUGAGCCGAUGUCGGAUUAGCUAGUUAGCGGGGUAAUGGCCGACCAAGGCGACGAUCCGGAGCUGGUCUGAGAGGAUGAUCAGCGACACCGGGGCUGGGCCUCGGCCCCGACGCCGACGGGAGCCUGCAGUGGCGAAUAUUGGACCGGGGGCGAAGGCCUGGUCGAGCACUGCCCCGUGAGUGAUGAAGGCCUUAGGGCUGUAAAGCGCCUUUACCCGGGAUGCGAAUGACAGCACCGGGAGAAUGAGCUCCGGCGAACUGCGU